rnacentral:lncRNA from 1 species
GUGGAUCCCCUGCGGCAGCCCCUCGCGCCCUGUCAGAGCACCGCUCCAGCUGGUGACCCCAGGCCCGGGCUAAGCAGCCUGCAGGAGGCCGUGGCCGUGCUGAGGGGCUUCUUUCCACAGAUCCAACGUGCCCAGCCCGCUGCCAGCACUGCCGUGCACGAGGGCUGCUCUCAGGCACCGGAGCCAUGGCGCCAGGCGGCGGCGGAGGCUCCCGGCUUCAGAAACACCUGCACUCUGUCUAGACAGACUUCCCUGGCCAAAACAGAUACGGCAACAACCAGUUCAAAGCAUCCACUGCCUCUCCAACGCCGUGCUUCCCUUAGACAGCUUCCUGGGUUUCUAUGAUUUGCUGGGGAAUCCGGCAGCAAGGAGCAGACAAGCCCAAGCCUGCCAUGAAGACCACGGCCUUCUGUUCUGCCCUCUGCACUCCUAAAAGCAAUGCCCCAGCCCGACCUGCAGCCUUGGCGAUGCCGUGGGAUGAACACCAGCCGUGGGGCUGGGGCCUUUCACAGGUGCCCA